AGAGUUUGAUCCUGGCUCAGGAUGAACGCUAGCGGCAGGCCUAACACAUGCAAGUCGUGGGGUAACAGGAUAGCAAUAUCGCUGACGACCGGCGCACGGGUGAGUAAUGCAUAUGCAACCUCCCUCUAACUAGGGGAUAGCUUCCGGAAACGGAAAUUAAUACCCUAUAAUAUCCUAAAGACGCAUGUUUUAUGGAUUAAAGCUCCGGCGGUUAGAGAUGGGCAUAUGUGCCAUUAGCUAGUUGGUGAGGUAAUAGCUCACCAAGGCUACGAUGGUUAGGGGGUCUGAGAGGAUGAUCCCCCACACUGGUACUGAGACACGGACCAGACUCCUACGGGAGGCAGCAGUGAGGAAUAUUGGGCAAUGGGCGCAAGCCUGACCCAGCCAUGCCGCGUGAAGGAUGAAGGCCCUAUGGGUUGUAAACUUCUUUUGUACGGGACGAAACUUCCGGACGUGUCCGGGACUGACAGUACCGUACGAAUAAGCAUCGGCUAACUCCGCGCCAGCAGCCGCGGUAAUACGGAGGAUGCAAGCGUUAUCCGGAUUCAUUGGGUUUAAAGGGUGCGUAGGCGGGAUAAUAAGUCAGUGGUGAAAGCCUGCGGCUUAACCGUAGAAUUGCCAUUGAUACUGUUAUUCUUGAGUACAGUUGAGGUGGGCGGAAUGUGUAAUGUAGCGGUGAAAUGCUUAGAUAUUACACAGAACACCGAUUGCGAAGGCAGCUCACUAAGCUGUUACUGACGCUGAGGCACGAAAGCGUGGGGAGCAAACAGGAUUAGAUACCCUGGUAGUCCACGCUGUAAACGAUGAUCACUAGUUGUUGGCGAUAUACCGUCAGCGACUGAGCGAAAGCAUUAAGUGAUCCACCUGGGGAGUACGACGGCAACGUUGAAACUCAAAGGAAUUGACGGGGGCCCGCACAAGCGGAGGAACAUGUGGUUUAAUUCGAUGAUACGCGAGGAACCUUACCUGGGCUUGAAAGGGGAUUGACAUCUGCCGAAAGGUGGAUUCUCUUCGGAGCAGUCUCCUAGGUGCUGCAUGGUUGUCGUCAGCUCGUGCCGUGAGGUGUCGGGUUAAGUCCCAUAACGAGCGCAACCCUUAUCGUUAGUUGCCAGCGGGUAAUGCCGGGGACUCUAACGAAACUGCCGGUGUAAACCGUGAGGAAGGUGGGGGUGACGUCAAAUCAGCACGGCCCUUAUGUCCAGGGCUACACACGUGUUACAAUGGCCGGUACAAAGGGCAGCUACCUGGUAACAGGAUGCUAAUCUCAAAAACCGGUCUCAGUUCGGAUCGAAGUCUGCAACUCGACUUCGUGAAGCUGGAUUCGCUAGUAAUCGCACAUCAGCAAUGGCGCGGUGAAUACGUUCCCGGGCCUUGUACACACCGCCCGUCAAGCCAUGGAAGCUGGGGGUACCUGAAGUCUGUAACCGUAAGGAGCGGCCUAGGGUAAAACCAGUGACUGGGGCUAAGUCGUAACAAGGUAAC
rnacentral:rRNA from 1 species